UACGUAGGGUGCGAGCGUUGUCCGGAAUUAUUGGGCGUAAAGGGCUCGUAGGCGGUCUGUUGCGUCGGGAGUGAAAACUCAGGGCUUAACCCUGAGCCUGCUUCCGAUACGGGCAGACUAGAGGUAUGCAGGGGAGAACGGAAUUCCUGGUGUAGCGGUGAAAUGCGCAGAUAUCAGGAGGAACACCGAUGGCGAAGGCAGGUCUCUGGGCAUUAACUGACGCUGAGGAGCGAAAGCAUGGGGAGCGAACAGG
rnacentral:rRNA from 1 species